rnacentral:rRNA from 1 species
CCUACGGGCGGCUGCAGUGGGGAAUAUUGCACAAUGGGGGAAACCCUGAUGCAGCAACGCCGCGUGAAGGAAGACGGUUUUCGGAUUGUAAACUUCUGUUCGUAGGGAAGAAGAAUGACGGUAGCUAAGGAGCAAGCCACGGCUAACUACGUGCCAGCAGCCGCGGUAAGACGUAGGUGGCAAGCGUUGUCCGGAAUUACUGGGUGUACAGGGAGCGCAGGCGGGAAGCCAAGUCAGCUGUGAAAACUACGGGCUUAACUUGUAGACUGCAGUUGAAACUGGUUUUCUUGAGUGAAGUAGAGGUUGGCGGACUUCCUCGUGUAGCGGUGAACUGCGUAGAUCUUCGGAGGAACACCGGUGGCGCAGGCGGCCCACUGGGCUUUAACUGCCGCUGCGGCUCGAAAGUGUGGGGAGCAAACCGGAUUAGAUACCCCAGUAGUC